GAUGAACGCUGACAGAAUGCUUAACACAUGCAAGUCAACUGUGGCGGACGGGUGAGUAACGCGUAAAGAACUUGCCUCACAGAUAGGGAAAACAUUUGGAAACGAAUGCUAAUACCUGUUACUGUGAGAGAGCUUUGCUUCCCAUUUGCUUGUUGGAGAGGUAACGGCUCACCAAGGCGAUGAUGGGUAGACGGCCUGAGAGGGUGAUCGGCCACGAGGGGACUGAGACAAGGCACUUACUACUACGGGAGGCCGCAGUGGGGAAUAUUAUACAAUGGACCAAAGACGGAUCCAGCAAUUCUGUGGGCACGAUUUAGUUUUCGGAAGGUAAAUUGCAUUCAGUUGAGGAGCAGUACCAACAGAAGAAGGAACGGCUAAAUACGUGCCAGCAGCCGCGGUAAUUC
rnacentral:rRNA from 1 species